rnacentral:rRNA from 1 species
CCUACGGGUGGCAGCAGUAGGGAAUAUUGGACAAUGGGGGGAACCCUGAUGCAGCGACGCCGCGUGAGUGAUGAAGUACUUCGGUAUGUAAAGCUCUAUCAGCAGGGAAGAAAAUGACGGUACGUGACUAAGAAGCCCCGGCUAACUACGAGCCAGAAGCCGCGGUAAAACGUAGGGGGCAAGCGUGAUCCGGAUUUACUGGGUGUAAAGGGAGCGUAGGCGGUGCAGCAAGUCUGAUGUGAAAGGUCGGGGCCCAACCCCGGGGCUGCAUUGGAAACUGUUGAACUGGAGUACAGGAGAGGUAAGUGGAAUUCCUAGUGUAGCGGUGAAAUGCGUAGAGAUUAGGAGGAACACCAGUGGCGAAGGCGGCUUACUGGACUGUAACUGACGUUGAGGCUCGAAAGCGUGGGGAUCAAACAGGAUUAGAUACCCUUGUAGUC